rnacentral:rRNA from 1 species
AGGGCGCCUGUUUAACAAAAACAUGUCCUAUUGUAUUAUUUAAUAGGUCUGGCCUGCCCAGUGAUAAUUUCAACGGCCGCGGUAUAUUGACCGUGCAAAGGUAGCAUAAUCAUUAGUCUUUUAAUAGGAGGCUGGAAUGAAAGGUUUAACGAGAAAUUGACUGUCUCAAUUACAAUCUUGAAUUUAUCUUUUGAGUCAAAAGACUUAAAUAUAAUUGGUGGACGAGAAGACCCUAUAGAGCUUGACAAUUAUUUUUUUAUAUUUACUUAGACUGAAAUUAUUUAUUUAUAUUAAAAAGAUUGUUUUGUUGGGGUGACAAUAAAUAUAUAUUUAACUUUUAUCAUAAUAUUAACAUUAAUUUAUGACUUUUGGAUCCAAAAAUUUUGAUCAUUAGAUUAAGUUACCUUAGGGAUAACAGCGUAAUCUUCCCUCAGAGUUCAUAUUUACGGGAAGGGUUGCGACCUCGAUGUUGGAUUAAGAUAAUAAUUAGGUGCAGUAGCUUAAUUAAUAGGUCUGUUCGACCUUUAAAUUCUUACAUGAUCUGAGUUCAGACCGGUUUAAGCCAGGUCGGUUUCUAUCUCCAAUUUAAUAUCAGUUAUUAGUACGAAAGGACCAUAAUUGAAAAAUAUUUUUUAUGUUUUGAAUUUUAUU